UGAUUUCAGGAGAAUCAGGGGAUAUGGUUUUUGCAUAACCCCUCCAUCAUCCCGAGCGUCAGGUUCUUGCAGGUUGAUCAUAAUUCAUGGCCAUCCAUCCAUUGGUAACCAUCAUGCAUCAAAAAGUCUAUUGCAUCAAGUGUGUCACUUUGGAACAUGGUCUGAUACUAGUGGACACAAAGUAAGAAUUUGGAAAGGGACCUGAUGGUACUGAACAAACUUUCUGUAGUCUCAAUGGGCAAUUUGAGUAAAGAAAUAUCUUACCCUUUUCAGCCUUUUGAUAUCUGCUAUGAAAUUUCUGAACUGGCAAGCAUCUAUGGAGAAUUGCAGAUGAAGGAACUACGCAUUGAACUAAAUGGUAAAGAGAUGAUAUCCAAGCCUAAAAUAGGACAAUCACAAAUGUUUUAUGCGUGAAACAAAGUUAAUUUUUCCCUUCCUAUGUUGCUUUACUAUUGAUUCCAAGUAGCUUUUUCUUUCUUCUUUAUAUAGUUUUUAUAAUGAUUUGUAUUUUUUAAAAGGUUUCUGGGAUAUCAAGCUGAUAUAUAUGGGUGGACCAGCAUGAUUUUUUCGAGGUUUAUAUUUUUCUUUCUUUCUUUUAUUUAUUUAUUUAUUUUUCCUAAUAUUAGUUCUAAACAUAUGCAUUUCUAAAUCUUGAUUCUACACAUCUCAGUUUUUGCUGGAUAGAAUAGUUCAUCAUUUCUUCGUAAGACUAAUUUAGGAGUCGUUGGACCCCCUACCAAAUCUCAGCAAUCAAUACAAUUCUUCUGGUGGCCCGAUGAUUGAUGACCCACUGUGAGAAAAUCAUGCCAAUUGCUUGAUCUUGCUCAUCUAACCAUGGUACUUCUGCUUAAAACAUGUGAACUGUACAUCUUUUAAGGCCUUAGCUGCUAGUUUACAAUCCAGUCUCAAGCCUACAGAUUAUAUAUAUCAGGCUACAAAGAUGGAUCUGUACGAGUAUGGGAUGCCACAUAUCUAGUCCUGUCACUUGUAUCUGUAUUGGGAGGGGAGGUUAGAGCCUCAUCAUGGAUAACCCAUAAAAUAUUUUUCUUUGAAAUGUAAUGAAGGUAUAGCUCUCUUUUGAUUUUGAUGAAUGUUGAUAAAAUAAGUGAUGGUUAGGUUAUUUAGUAGUAUGGCCUGUUAAAGCAACAUGUAUUAUAUGAUUGUCAGGUACCAGGGAUCAAAGUGGCUGGCAUCAGUGCUCCAAUAUCAGUGCUAGACUUAUAUUCAAUCACUAUGAGCUUGGUUGUUGGAAACGAAUGUGGUCUGGUGAGAGAUGUUCUUUCCAUAGCUACUUUCUUCUGAUUUGGCAGCUUAGGUUAUUAUUCAGUGUACAUAGCAAUCUAAUUAUUUGUUGUGACACUAAAAUCACAUUAGUAGAAUGAUAUGAAGUAUUUAAACAUUGACCAUCUAAA